UACAGAGGGUGCGAGCGUUGUUCGGAAUUAUUGGGCGUAAAGGGCGCGUAGGCGGUGCGGUAAGUCACCUGUGAAAUCUCCCGGCUUAACCUGGGAACUGCAUUUGUGACUGCAUGGCUAGAGUGCGGCAGAGGGGGAUGGAAUUCCGCGUGUAGCGGUGAAAUGCGUAGAUAUGUGGAGGAACACCGAUGGCGAAGGCAGCCCCCUGGGCCAAUACUGACGCUCAUGCACGAAAGCGUGGGGAGCAAACAGG
rnacentral:rRNA from 1 species